AGCGUACACGGUGGAUGCCCUGGCAGUCAGAGGCGAUGAAGGACGUGCUAAUCUGCGAAAAGCGCCGGUAAGGUGAUAUGAACCGUUAUAACCGGCGAUGUCCGAAUGGGGAAACCCGGUGCACUUCGGUGCAUCAUCGUUAGCUGAAUACAUAGGCUAACGAAGCGAACCGGGGGAACUGAAACAUCUAAGUACCCCGAGGAAAAGAAAUCAACCGAGAUUCCCCCAGUAGCGGCGAGCGAACGGGGAACAGCCCAGAGCCUGAAUCAGCUUGUGUGUCAGUGGAACGGUCUGGAAAGGCCGGCGAUACAGGGUGACAGCCCCGUACACGAAGGCACACAGGCUGUGAGCUCGAUGAGUAGGGCGGGACACGUGAUAUCCUGUCUGAAGAUGGGGGGACCAUCCUCCAAGGCUAAAUACUCCUGACUGACCGAUAGUGAACCAGUACCGUGAGGGAAAGGCGAAAAGAACCCCGGCGAGGGGAGUGAAACAGAACCUGAAACCGUGUACGUACAAGCAGUGGGAGCCUUCGUAAGAGGGUGACUGCGUACCUUUUGUAUAAUGGGUCAGCGACUUAUAUUCUGUAGCAAGGUUAACCGUAUAGGGGAGCCGAAGGGAAACCGAGUCUUAACCGGGCGUUAAGUUGCAGGGUAUAGACCCGAAACCCGGUGAUCUAGCCAUGGGCAGGUUGAAGGUUGGGUAACACUAACUGGAGGACCGAACCGACUAAUGUUGAAAAAUUAGCGGAUGACCUGUGGCUGGGGGUGAAAGGCCAAUCAAACCGGGAGAUAGCUGGUUCUCCCCGAAAGCUAUUUAGGUAGCGCCUCGUGAACUCAUCUCCGGGGGUAGAGCACUGUUUCGGCUAGGGGGCCAUCCCGGCUUACCAACCCGAUGCAAACUGCGAAUACCGGAGAAUGUUAUCACGGGAGACACACGGCGGGUGCUAACGUCCGUCGUGAAGAGGGAAACAACCCAGACCGCCAGCUAAGGUCCCAAAGUCAUGGUUAAGUGGGAAACGAUGUGGGAAGGCCCAGACAGCCAGGAUGUUGGCUUAGAAGCAGCCAUCAUUUAAAGAAAGCGUAAUAGCUCACUGGUCGAGUCGGCCUGCGCGGAAGAUGUAACGGGGCUAAACCAUGCACCGAAGCUGCGGCAGCGACACUGUGUGUUGUUGGGUAGGGGAGCGUUCUGUAAGCCUGCGAAGGUGUGCUGUGAGGCAUGCUGGAGGUAUCAGAAGUGCGAAUGCUGACAUAAGUAACGAUAAAGCGGGUGAAAAGCCCGCUCGCCGGAAGACCAAGGGUUCCUGUCCAACGUUAAUCGGGGCAGGGUGAGUCGACCCCUAAGGCGAGGCCGAAAGGCGUAGUCGAUGGGAAACAGGUUAAUAUUCCUGUACUUGGUGUUACUGCGAAGGGGGGACGGAGAAGGCUAUGUCGGCCGGGCGACGGUUGUCCCGGUUUAAGCGUGUAGGCUGACUUUCCAGGCAAAUCCGGAAGGUUAAGGCUGAGGCGUGAUGACGAGGCACCACGGUGCUGAAGUGACAAAUGCCCUGCUUCCAGGAAAAGCCUCUAAGCAUCAGGUAACAUCAAAUCGUACCCCAAACCGACACAGGUGGUCAGGUAGAGAAUACCAAGGCGCUUGAGAGAACUCGGGUGAAGGAACUAGGCAAAAUGGUGCCGUAACUUCGGGAGAAGGCACGCUGACAUGUAGGUGAAGCCCCUGCGGGUGGAGCUGAAGUCAGUCGAAGAUACCAGCUGGCUGCAACUGUUUAUUAAAAACACAGCACUGUGCAAACACGAAAGUGGACGUAUACGGUGUGACGCCUGCCCGGUGCCGGAAGGUUAAUUGAUGGGGUUAUCGCAAGAGAAGCUCCUGAUCGAAGCCCCGGUAAACGGCGGCCGUAACUAUAACGGUCCUAAGGUAGCGAAAUUCCUUGUCGGGUAAGUUCCGACCUGCACGAAUGGCGUAAUGAUGGCCAGGCUGUCUCCACCCGAGACUCAGUGAAAUUGAACUCGCUGUGAAGAUGCAGUGUACCCGCGGCAAGACGGAAAGACCCCGUGAACCUUUACUACAGCUUGACACUGAACAUUGAGCCUUGAUGUGUAGGAUAGGUGGGAGGCUUUGAAGCGUGGACGCCAGUCUGCGUGGAGCCAACCUUGAAAUACCACCCUUUAAUGUUUGAUGUUCUAACCUGGCGCCAUAAUCUGGCGUGGGGACAGUGUCUGGUGGGUAGUUUGACUGGGGCGGUCUCCUCCCAAAGUGUAACGGAGGAGCACGAAGGUCAGCUAAUCCUGGUCGGACAUCAGGAGGUUAGUGCAAUGGCAUAAGCUGGCUUGACUGCGAGAGUGACGGCUCGAGCAGGUGCGAAAGCAGGUCAUAGUGAUCCGGUGGUUCUGUAUGGAAGGGCCAUCGCUCAACGGAUAAAAGGUACUCCGGGGAUAACAGGCUGAUACCGCCCAAGAGUUCAUAUCGACGGCGGUGUUUGGCACCUCGAUGUCGGCUCAUCACAUCCUGGGGCUGAAGUAGGUCCCAAGGGUAUGGCUGUUCGCCAUUUAAAGUGGUACGCGAGCUGGGUUUAGAACGUCGUGAGACAGUUCGGUCCCUAUCUGCCGUGGGCGCUGGAGAAUUGAGGGGGGCUGCUCCCAGUACGAGAGGACCGGAGUGGACGCAUCACUGGUGUUCGGGUUGUCAUGCCAAUGGCACUGCCCGGUAGCUAAAUGCGGAAGAGAUAAGUGCUGAAAGCAUCUAAGCACGAAACUUGCCCCGAGAUGAGUUCU
rnacentral:rRNA from 1 species